rnacentral:tmRNA from 1 species
GGGGCUGAUUCUGGAUUCGACGGGAUUUGCGAAACCCAAGGUGCAUGCCGAGGGGCGGUUGGCCUCGUAAAAAGCCGCAAAAAAAUAGUCGCAAACGACGAAAACUACGCUUUAGCAGCUUAAUAACCUGCUUAGAGCCCUCUCUCCCUAGCCUCCGCUCUUAGGUCGGGGAUCAAGAGAGGUCAAACCCAAAAGAGAUCGCGCGGAUGCCCUGCCUGGGGUUGAAGCGUUAAAACGAAUCAGGCUAGUCUGGUAGUGGCGUGUCCGUCCGCAGGUGCCAGGCGAAUGUAAAGACUGACUAAGCAUGUAGUACCGAGGAUGUAGGAAUUUCGGACGCGGGUUCAACU